AACAUCGCGCACCUGCGGGAACCUGCGGAAGGAUCAUUACCGAGUUUACAACUCCCAAACCCCUGUGAACAUACCUAUACGUUGCCUCGGCGGAUCAGCCCGCGCCCUGUAAAAAGGGACGGCCCGCCCGAGGACCCUAAACUCUGUUUUUAGUGGAACUUCUGAGUAAAACAAACAAAUAAAUCAAAACUUUCAGCAAUGGAUCU
rnacentral:misc_RNA from 1 species